ACACCACGCUCUUGAAUUCUUCUUUCCUCGCAGUGUUUUUAUUACAAAUGUGUUCAGUGGAUUUUUUAAAAUACGAUGUCAAUCGAAGUUGAUAAAAAAAAAAAAAGGCGAUGUUUACUUGUGUCUGGUAUUUUCGAACAAUGAGUGAGACCUGAGAGGCUGAUAUGUUUAAGCCAAACACCUGCCCAUGAAACAACUCUUCAUUUAUCGUUUCAUUUGCUCGUGGCUUCCAGUUCAAUUGUGUUAAACUUUAAGUCUUGAACAAUGUUUAUAUCGAGCUGUGCGUCGCUGAUCACAUUUCCCACCAACACUUUUAGUUUCUGUGGUGAAAAAACACCUGACAAAGUAAAACACCUGAUGUGUGCUAAAACACUAUUACCCGAUGAUAAAGGAAAUGUGAAAAUUUCUAAAGUUUCAAAAGAAUUGUAAUUUAAUAUCUAGUUCCUAUGCUGUAGCAGAAUGAUUGUGCUCAAGCAACUGGAGAAAGCGUUUGUGAAGCAAACAAACUACAGUGUCUAAUUGGCUAUUUUAACUGCCAUCAGGUGGUUCUUACGACCCGGUGUGUUCGCAGCGAACGAGUGGCCAGCAUAGCCGCCGUCUACCCAAACAUCAAGUACCUUUCAUCGAUGGCUAACUCCAAGAUUUCUUACUUUCCAUGCUCCUCCGGACUUUGGCAUUCCGGUGACGGCCAUCUGUCCGCUACAUUCUAACCUUCCCAGUGUAUAUUGGCCGGAAGAACCCUCCAAUAUGGUACGACCGAAGUUCAAACGCGUGAUUGGCAGCAAAUUCUUGACGGCGAUAACUCCUGCAAGCUAACAGUGUAGGUAGACCUGAAUCGCAGUUACAUGUCACGGCAGGUGAUUCGACACAAUUUCCGUCCAUUCCGCACUGGCAGACGUGGACACUAGAAUUACUUCCCGACCAAAAGUAUUGCGGGUUUCCAUUCC